rnacentral:snoRNA from 1 species
ACCCGUCCAGAUGCCUUACCCAUCAGAUCAGACCUAAACACUGGUCUGAGUGGGUACAAAAGGUGGGGCAGUAAAAUUGAAACUGACUUAAAGUUUUUGUGACACACAAGCUAUUUUCAAACAAAC